rnacentral:rRNA from 1 species
CCUACGGGAGGCAGCAGUGGGGAAUUUUGGACAAUGGGGGCAACCCUGAUCCAGCCAUUCCGCGUGAGUGAAGAAGGCCUUCGGGUUGUAAAGCUCUUUCGCAAGGGAAGAAAACUUAUGAUCGAAUAAAUCAUGAGGUUGACGGUACCUUGAUAAGAAGCACCGGCUAACUACGUGCCAGCAGCCGCGGUAAUACGUAGGGUGCGAGCGUUAAUCGGAAUUACCGGGCGUAAAGCGUGCGCAGGCGGUUUUGUAAGUCGGAUGUGAAAUCCCCGGGCUCAACCUGGGAACUGCGUUCGAAACUGCAAGGCUAGAGUGUGUCAGAGGGGGGUAGAAUUCCACGUGUAGCAGUGAAAUGCGUAGAGAUGUGGAGGAAUACCAAUGGCGAAGGCAGCCCCCUGGGAUAACACUGACGCUCAUGCACGAAAGCGUGGGGAGCAAACAGGAUUAGAUACCCUGGUAGUCCACGCCCUAAACGAUGUCAACUAGUUGUUGGUAGAGUAAAAUCUAUGAGUAACGUAGCUAACGCGUGAAGUUGACCGCCUGGGGAGUACGGUCGCAAGAUUAAAACUUAAAUGAAUUGACCGG